rnacentral:rRNA from 1 species
UCGAUUUGGAGUUUGUUGCCUAGAGUGAUGGGCUCCGAAGCUAACGCGAUAAAUCGACCGCCUGGGGAGUACGGCCGCAAGGUUAAAACUCAAAUGAAUUGACGGGGGCCCGCACAAGCGGUGGAGCAUGUGGUUUAAUUCGAUGCAACGCGAAGAACCUUACCUGGUCUUGACAUCCACAGAAUCUUGCAGAGAUGUGAGAGUGCCUUCGGGAACUGUGAGACAGGUGCUGCAUGGCUGUCGUCAGCUCGUGUUGUGAAAUGUUGGGUUAAGUCCCGCAACGAGCGCAACCCUUAUCCUUUGUUGCCAUCGGUUAGGCCGGGAACUCAAAGGAGACUGCCGUUGAUAAAGCGGAGGAAGGUGGGGACGACGUCAAGUCAUCAUGGCCCUUACGACCAGGGCUACACACGUGCUACAAUGGCGUAUACAAAGGGAGGCGACCUCGCGAGAGCAAGCGGACCUCAUAAAGUACGUCUAAGUCCGGAUUGGAGUCUGCAACUCGACUCCAUGAAGUCGGAAUCGCUAGUAAUCGUGAAUCAGAAUGUCACGGUGAAAUACGUUCCCGGGCCU